UCAAGCUAAUAAGAGCACAGGGUGGAUGCCCAGGCACCAAACGCCGAAGAAAGACGUGGCAAGCUGCGAAAAGUCACGGGGAACCGCAAGCAGGUAUUGAUCCGUGAACGUCUGAAUGGGGAAACCCGGCGGGUUAACAGCCCGUCACUAUUAACUGAAUCAAUAGGUUAAUAGGGGGAACGCGGGGAACUGAAACAUCUCAGUACCCGUAGGAAGAGAAAAUAAAGAAUGAUUUCCUAAGUAGCGGCGAGCGAACGGGAAAGAGGCCAAACCGAAGGGCUUGCUCUUCGGGGUUGUGGAUCAGCAAAAAGGACGGAAGACCUUAGCAGAAGAGGAUUGGAAAGUCCCGCCAGAGAGGGUAAAAGCCCCUUACGCGAAAAGGUCAAACGACGAGCUGACACCAGAGUACCGCAGGACACGAGAAAUCCGGUGGGAAGCCGGGAGGACCACCUCCCAAGCCUAAAUACGAAUUGGUGACCGAUAGCGCAUAGUACCGUGAGGGAAAGGUGAAAAGAACCCCGGGAGGGGAGUGAAAAAGAACCUGAAACCCUGUGUUUACAAGCAGUGAAAGUGCGAGCAAGGCACGAUCACGUACUUUUUGUAGAACGGACCGGCGAGUUACGUUAUGCAGCAAGGUUAAGAACUGAAGGUUCGGAGCCGAAGCGAAAGCGAGUCUGAAUAGGGCGAUAGUUGCAUGACGUAGACCCGAAACCGGGUGACCUAUCCAUGAGCAGGUUGAAGUGGAGGUAAAGCUCCAUGGAGGACCGAACCAGACGUCUGUUGAAAAAGGCGGGGAUGACUUGUGGAUAGGGGAGAAAUUCCAAUCGAACCCGGAGAUAGCUGGUUCUCCUCGAAAUAGCUUUAGGGCUAGCCUCAUGGAUCAUUGGUGGGGGUAGAGCACUGAAUGUGCGCGGGGGCCACAAAGCCUACCAAACGCUAUCAAACUACGAAUACCAUACAAUGCAGACCAUGGGAGUCAGUCCGCGAGAGAUAAGUUCCGCGGGCAAAAGGGGAACACCCCAGAUCAACCGCUAAGGUCCCCAAGUUCACGUUAAGUGGAGAAGGAUGUGGAAUUGCACAGACAACCAGGAUGUUGGCUCAGAAGCAGCCACACAUUUAAAGAGUGCGUAAUAGCUCACUGGUCGAGUGAUUGUGCGCCGAAGAUGUCCGGGGCUAAACGUGACACCGAAGCGAUGGGUGCGUCUGAAGAAGAUGCGCGGUAGAGGAGCAAUGUGCAGAGGCAGAAGCCGUAUCGAGAGGCACGGUGGACACUGCACAAGAGAGAAUGCCGGUAUGAGUAGCGAGAGGCAUGCGAGAAACAUGCCCGUCGAAAGCCCAAGGUUUCCUGGGGAAGGUUCAUCCGCCCAGGGUAAGUCGGGGCCUAAGCCGAGGACGGAAGUCGUAGGCGAUGGACAGCAGGUGUAGAUUCCUGCACUACCGAUGGAAUGAAGCAGUGACACAGAAGGAUAACUCGAGCAGGGUGAUGGUCAACCCUGUGCAAGCAUCAAGGUUGGGUUGUAGUGAAGUACGCAACCCUACAAGCUGAGGUGUGAUGCGGACCGAAAUUUCAGUAGGGAAGCGAGUGAGUUCACGCUGGCGAGAAAAGCUGCUAGUACAUCCAAAGGUACCCGUACCGGAAACCGACGCAGGUGGGCGAGGAGAGAAUCCUGAGACGAACGGGAGAACCCUUGUUAAGGAACUCGGCAAAAUGACCCCGUAACUUCGGGAUAAGGGGUGCCUGCGAGAGCAGGCCGCAGAGAAUAGUCACAAGCGACUGUUUAGCAAAAACACAGGUAUCUGCGAAAGCGAGAGCUGACGUAUAGGUGCUGACACCUGCCCGGUGCUGGAAGGUUAAGGGAACAUGUUAGAGCAAUCGAAGCAUCGAACCGAAGCCCCAGUAAACGGCGGCCGUAACUAUAACGGUCCUAAGGUAGCGAAAUUCCUUGUCGGGUAAGUUCCGACCCGC
rnacentral:rRNA from 1 species